GAUGGGUAGGGGAGCGUCGUGUGCCGGGUGAAGCAGCGCCGGAAGGCAGUUGUGGACGGUUCACGAGUGAGAAUGCAGGCAUGAGUAGCGAUUCACACGUGGGAAACGUGUGCGCCGAUUGACUAAGGGUUCCUGGGUCAAGCUGAUCUGCCCAGGGUAAGUCGGGACCUAAGGCGAGGCCGACAGGCGUAGUCGAUGGAUAACCGGUUGAUAUUCCGGUACCCGCUGUGAAGCGUCAAACAUUGAAUCCUCUGAUGCUAAGGCCGUGAAGCCGCCUGCUGAGUCUUCGGACGAGGUGGGAGUGGUGGAGCCGCUGAACCAAGGUGGUAGUAGGUGAGUGAUGGGGUGACGCAGGAAGGUAGUCCAUCCCGGGCGGUGGUAGUCCCGGGGUAAGGGUGUAGGCAGUGUGAUAGGCAAAUCCGUCACAUAUUAAUGCUGAGACCUGAUGCCGAGCCGAUUGUGGUGAAGUGGAUGAUCCUAUGCUGUCGAGAAAAGCCUCUAGCGAGUUUUACGGCGGCCCGUACCCUAAACCGACUCAGGUGGUCAGGUAGAGAAUACCGAGGCGUUCGGGUGAACUAUGGUUAAGGAACUCGGCAAAAUGCCCCCGUAACUUCGGGAGAAGGGGGGCCAUUCCUGGUGAUGAUCUUUACGGUCUGAGCUGGGGGUGGCCGCAGAGACCAGCGAGAAGCGACUGUUUACUAAAAACACAGGUCCGUGCGAAGCCGUAAGGCGAUGUAUACGGACUGACGCCUGCCCGGUGCUGGAACGUUAAGGGGACCGGUUAGUCAUAAUUCGUUGUGGCGAAGCUGAGAACUUAAGCGCCAGUAAACGGCGGUGGUAACUAUAACCAUCCUAAGGUAGCGAAAUUCCUUGUCGGGUAAGUUCCGACCUGCACGAAUGGCGUAACGACUUCUCGACUGUCUCAACCAUAGGCCCGGUGAAAUUGCAUUACGAGUAAAGAUGCUCGUUUCGCGCAGCAGGACGGAAAGACCCCGGGACCUUUACUAUAGUUUGAUAUUGGUGUUCGGUUCGGCUUGUGUAGGAUAGGUGGGAGACUGUGAAGUCACGGCGCCAGCCGUGGUGGAGUCAUUGUUGAAAUACCACUCUGGUCGUGCUGGAUGUCUAACCUGGGUCCGUGAUCCGGAUCAGGGACAGUGUCUGAUGGGUAGUUUAACUGGGGCGGUUGCCUCCUAAAGAGUAACGGAGGCGCCCAAAGGUUCCCUCAGCCUGGUUGGCAAUCAGGUGUUGAGUGUAAGUGCACAAGGGAGCUUGACUGUGAGACUGACGGGUCGAGCAGGAGCGAAAGCUGGGACUAGUGAUCCGGCGGUGGCUUGUGGAAGCGCCGUCGCUCAACGGAUAAAAGGUACCCCGGGGAUAACAGGCUGAUCUUCCCCAAGAGUCCAUAUCGACGGGAUGGUUUGGCACCUCGAUGUCGGCUCGUCGCAUCCUGGGGCUGGAGUCGGUCCCAAGGGUUGGGCUGUUCGCCCAUUAAAGCGGUACGCGAGCUGGGUUUAGAACGUCGUGAGACAGUUCGGUCCCUAUCCGCUGCGCGCGUAGGAGUUUUGAGAAGGGCUGUCCCUAGUACGAGAGGACCGGGACGGACGGACCUCUGGUGUGCCAGUUGUUCUGCCAAGGGCAUGGCUGGUUGGCUACGUUCGGGAGGGAUAACCGCUGAAAGCAUCUAAGCGGGAAGCCUGCUUCGAGAUGAGAACUCCCACC
rnacentral:rRNA from 1 species